GAGCUGGGCGUCUUCCUCCAGCUGCAGGCAAUUACUUCUUACACACCUGUUUCCCAUUUUCAUCUGAACCGGUUCUUCUUUCUUCUGAACCCUGCCAUCUCCUCAAUUCCCCGCCGGAUUAUUAGUGAGUCCGUGGAGACCCCGCUCUACCUUGGAAGUCUCGCCGUUUCCCGCAUGCCUAGUUACUCGUCCUGCCUGGCCUAGCUCAUUCUGUCUCGCCACACCGGAGGAAUCCCACCUCGCAUCUGUCUACCUUUUUCUUGUGUUCAAUAAACUGCUUCCUACCCUCCUGAA